rnacentral:tRNA from 2 species
GGGUGAUUAGCUCAGCUGGGAGAGCACCUCCCUUACAAGGAGGGGGUCGGCGGUUCGAAUCCCGUCAUCACCCACCA